AUAUAUAAUCAUAAAUUAUGGUAAUGCACCCAGUCCUAUCUGGUCUUGGAGGCUGAGCAGGGUCAGCCUUUGUUAAUACUUGAAUGGGAGACCAACAAGGGACAUUGGAUGUUGUAAGCU
rnacentral:rRNA from 11 species